AGGAUGAAGGUGGAAGUGGUGGGAGAGAUCCCCUCUUGUCUACAGCCCCCUUGUCCUGCCUACAGCCUCUCUGUUUGGUCAGGUUUAAAUGAUGCCCUCGCUCUGUCUGUGGUUGGCUGCGGCAUUGCCAUCUCUCUCGGACAAAUCUUUGCCCUAAAAUAUGGCUACAAUGUUGACAGCAACCAGGUGAAAAACACUGUCAAUGACCGUGUGAUUGGAAAUCCUUCUGGGUACCCUGGUGGUGAGCCUGGUGUCAAUCGUUGGCCUCAUCAUCAAGGAGCUCAACACCCAGCUGGGAAAAAAACUGUCAGUACCCAUUCCUGUAGAGCUGCUGGCGGUCAACCUUGAGGGGGAGUAUGAAGUGGAAGUGGUGGGAGAGAUCCCCUCUUGCUGGUGUGGAUGACCACUCUGGUUCUGACCGUGCUCUUCAAACCUGACCUAUGCCUGGCAGCCUCCAUUGCCUUCUCGAUGCUCACGGUCAUCUUCAGGACCCAGCUUUUCAGGCCAAAGUACUCCUCUUCUAGGGCAGGCCCCUGAGACUGACAUCUACAGACCAGUGGACGAUUAUAAUCAGCGUGGGAUUGACGUCACUAAAUGAAUCUCCCGAAAGAAGAAAGCGGAGGCCAAGAGAUUGAGGAAGGAAAAGAAAGAGGCCAGGAAAGCCAAAAGAAAAAAGGAAAAAGAAGAACGCCCAGGAACUGGUGAGGAGGAGUGACACUGAAAAGAUAGGGAGAAUACCAGUCUGUUUGUAUAGUGUAAUCCACUAAUAGGGUCUAAGGUUAGGAUAGUAUUGGAUUAAUAUGCAGGUAAUGUGAUGGGUGGGUGUCCACUGAAUGAUCCUUCCAUGUGUUCUCCUGUCCAGGAGGGGGAGCCAGUCAGUUCAGAGAAGGAUGUGGAGAAGGAUCAAAACAUGUCCAAUCUAAUGUUAUUUGUCACAUGUUUAGCAGAUGUUAUUGCGGGUGUUAUUGCUUGUGAUGCAAUGUGAGAUGCUGUCUGCCUGUUGUCAUACAGGUUGAGUCAGAUUCAAUAAUGCUUUACUGCUAUGACU